AUUGAACGCUGGCGGCAUGCUUUACACAUGCAAGUCGAACGGCAGCGCGGGCUUCGGCCUGGCGGCGAGUGGCGAACGGGUGAGUAAUACAUCGGAACGUGCCCAGUAGUGGGGGAUAGCUCGGCGAAAGCCGGAUUAAUACCGCAUACGACCUGAGGGCGAAAGCGGGGGAUCUUCGGACCUCGCGCUAUUGCAGCGGCCGAUGGCAGAUUAGCUAGUUGGUGGGGUAAAGGCCUACCAAGGCGACGAUCCGUAGCUGGUCUGAGAGGACGACCAGCCACACUGGGACUGAGACACGGCCCAGACUCCUACGGGAGGCAGCAGUGGGGAAUUUUGGACAAUGGGCGAAAGCCUGAUCCAGCAAUGCCGCGUGUGUGAUGAAGGCCUUCGGGUUGUAAAGCACUUUUGGCGGGAACGAAAGGGACUGUGCCAAUACCACGGUGCGAUGACGGUACCCGAAGAAUAAGCACCGGCUAACUACGUG
rnacentral:rRNA from 1 species